rnacentral:misc_RNA from 1 species
CGACCAUCAAGCCCUAUUUGCUUGGCGUUGGGAGCUUAGCCUGCUGUUGCGGGAUAACUCCUCAAAUAUAUUGGCGGAGUCGCGAAGACCCCAAGCGUAGUAAUUUUUUCUCGCUUCCGGUGUGUCGGCGCUGGCGUCCAGCCACUAAACCCCCAAAUUUUUAAAG